UGCCAGCAGCCGCGGUAAUACAGAGGGGGCAAGCGUUAUUCGGAUUUAUUGGGCGUAAAGGGUGCGUAGGCGGCUUUGUAAGUUGGGAGUGCAAUCCCGCAGCUUAACUGCGGAACUGCUUCCAAAACUGCAAGGGCUCGAGUCAGAUAGGGGAUAGCGGAAUUCCUAGUGUAGAGGUAAAAUUCGUAGAUAUUAGGAGGAACACCGGUGGCGAAGGCGGCUAUCUGGGUCUGUACUGACGCUGAGGCACGAAAGUGUGGGGAGCAAACAGGAUUAGAUA
rnacentral:rRNA from 1 species